rnacentral:rRNA from 1 species
AGAGUAUUUGGUGGAUGCCUUGGGUCUGAAAGUCGAUGAAGGACGCGAUUACCUGCGAUAAGCUUCGUGGAGUUGGAAAUAAACUAUGAUACGGAGAUUUCCGAAUGGGGUAACCUAACUGAGCAAACCUCAGUUGCAUUUUGAUGAAUCCAUAGUCAAAUUAGCGAGACACGUUGCGAAUUGAAACAUCUUAGUAGCAACAGGAAAAGAAAAUAAAUAAUGAUUUCGUCAGUAGUGGCGAGCGAAAGCGAAAGAGCCCAAACCUGUAAAAAGGGGUUGUAGGACAUCUUACAUUGAGUUACAAAAUUUUAUGAUAGUAGAAGAAGUUGGAAAGCUUCAACAUAGAAGGUGAUAUUCCUGUAUACGAAAUCAUAAAAUCUCAUAGAUGUAUCCUGAGUAGGGCGGGGCACGUGAAACCCUGUCUGAAUCUGCCGGGACCACCCGGUAAGGCUAAAUACUAAUCAGACACCGAUAGUGAACUAGUACCGUGAGGGAAAGGUGAAAAGAACCCCGAGAGGGGAGUGAAAUAGAUUCUGAAACCAUUUACUUACAAGUAGUCAGAGCACGUUAAAGUGUGAUGGCGUACAUCUUGCAGUAUGGGCCGGCGAGUUAUGUUAAUAUGCAAGGUUAAGCAGAAAAAAGCGGAGCCGUAGGGAAACCGAGUCUGAAUAGGGCGACUUUAGUAUAUUGGCAUAUACCCGAAACCAGGUGAUCUAUCCAUGAGCAGGUUGAAGCUUAGGUAAAACUAAGUGGAGGACCGAACCGUAGUACGCUAAAAAGUGCCCGGAUGACUUGUGGAUAGCGGUGAAAUUCCAAUCGAACCUGGAGAUAGCUGGUUCUCUUCGAAAUAGCUUUAGGGCUAGCGUAUAGUAUUGUUUAAUGGGGGUAGAGCACUGAAUGUGGAAUGGCGGCAUCUAGCUGUACUGACUAUAAUCAAACUCCGAAUACCAUUAAAAUUAAGCUAUGCAGUCGGAACGUGGGUGAUAACGUCCACGCUCGCGAGGGAAACAACCCAGAUCGUCAGCUAAGGUCCCAAAAUUGUGUUAAGUGAGAAAGGUUGUGAGAUUUCAUAAACAACUAGGAAGUUGGCUUAGAAGCAGCCACCUUUUAAAGAGUGCGUAAUUGCUCACUAGUCAAGAGAUCUUGCGCCAAUAAUGUAACGGGACUCAAACACAAUACCGAAGCUACGGGCACAUUAUGUGCGUUAGGAGAGCGUUUUAAUUUCGUUGAAGUCAGACCGUGAGGACUGGUGGAGAGAUUAAAAGUGAGAAUGCCGGCAUGAGUAACGAUUCGAAGUGAGAAUCUUCGACGCCUAUUGGGAAAGGUUUCCUGGGCAAGGUUCGUCCACCCAGGGUUAGUCAGGGCCUAAGAUGAGGCAGAAAUGCAUAGUCGAUGGACAACAGGUUAAUAUUCCUGUACUUGGUAAAAGAAUGAUGGAGUGACGAAAAAGGAUAGUUCUACCACUUACUGGAUUGUGGGGUAAGCAACAAGAGAGUUAUAUAGGCAAAUCCGUAUAGCAUAAUCUUGAGUUGUGAUGCAUAGUGAAGACUUCGGUCGAGUAACGAAUUGAAUGAUUUCAUGUUUCCAAGAAAAGCUUCUAGUGUUAAUUUUUUAUCAACCUGUACCGAGAACGAACACACGUUCCCAAGAUGAGUAUUCUAAGGCGAGCGAGAAAACCAAUGUUAAGGAACUCUGCAAAAUAACCCCGUAAGUUCGCGAGAAGGGGCGCCUAUUUUUAAUAGGCCACAGAAAAUAGGGGGGGCAACUGUUUAUUAAAAACACAGCUCUCUGCUAAGUUGUAAAACGACGUAUAGAGGGUGAAGCCUGCCCAGUGCCCGAAGGUUAAACGGAGAUGUUAGCUUACGCAAAGCAUUAAAGUGAAGCCCGGGUGAACGGCGGCCGUAACUAUAACGGUCCUAAGGUAGCGAAAUUCCUUGUCAACUAAUUAUUGACCUGCACGAAAGGCGCAAUGAUCUCCCUACUGUCUCAA